UACAGAGGGUGCGAGCGUUGUCCGGAAUCACUGGGCGUAAAGGGCGCGUAGGCGGCUCAGUAAGGUUGCGGUGAAAGCCCGGGGCUCAACCCCGGGUCGGCCGUGGCAACUGCUGGGCUGGAGCACUGUAGAGGCAGGUGGAAUUCCGGGUGUAGCGGUGGAAUGCGUAGAGAUCCGGAAGAACACCGGUGGCGAAGGCGGCCUGCUGGGCAGUAGCUGACGCUGAUGCGCGAAAGCGUGGGGAGCAAACAGG
rnacentral:rRNA from 1 species